ACGCUCGACACCUACGGGAGCAGCAGUGAGGAAUAUUGGUCAAUGGGCGCAGGCCUGAACCAGCCAAGUAGCGUGAAGGAUGACUGCCCUAUGGGUUGUAAACUUCUUUUAUAUGGGAAUAAAGUUUUCCACGUGUGGAAUUUUGUAUGUACCAUAUGAAUAAGGAUCGGCUAACUCCGCGCCAGCAGCCGCGGUAAUCUGAGCGGGCUGGCAAGGC
rnacentral:rRNA from 1 species